CCUACGGGGGGCAGCAGUGAGGAAUAUUGGUCAAUGGGCGAAAGCCUGAUGGAGCAACGCCGCGUGGGUGAAGAAGGUCUUCGGAUCGUAAAACCCUGUUGUUAGAGAAGAAAGUGCGUGAGAGUAACUGUUCACGUUUCGACGGUAUCUAACCAGAAAGCCACGGCUAACUACGUGCCAGCAGCCGCGGUAAUACGUAGGUGGCAAGCGUUAUCCGGAUUUAUUGGGCGUAAAGGGAACGCAGGCGGUCUUUUAAGUCUGAUGUGAAAGCCUUCGGCUUAACCGGAGUAGUGCAUUGGAAACUGGGAGACGUGAGUGCAGAAGAGGAGAGUGGAACUCCAUGUGUAGCGGUGAAAUGCGUAGAUAUAUGGAAGAACACCAGUGGCGAAAGCGGCUCUCUGGUCUGUAACUGACGCUGAGGUUCGAAAGCGUGGGUAGCAAACAGGAUUAGAUACCCUUGUAGUC
rnacentral:rRNA from 1 species